rnacentral:antisense_RNA from 1 species
CUAACUCAUAGCCCUGUAUUUUGCUAAGUUUUUCCUCUACUCUUGAGUCCUCCUUUAAUCUAUAGAGUGUUAUUCUACACUGGACCUCUCUCUUAUUUUUUGGAGUCUAGCAUCUUGCAUCUUCCUGGAGCCCCAACUAAACUCAUAACUUCUAAGCUUCUAAGAAAUAUAUGACGAGCUCCAUGAGGGCCAAGGCUGUCCAUUCCUGUUUACCACUGCACACUCAGGAGCUCAUGGCAUGCUGGCUGUGCUAGUUCUAUCCUCAACAGAAUAAUUGCUGACAAACUCUCUUGCCCAGAAAAUGUCUACUGGAAUUAUGGAGUACAAAAAAACUACAAAAGCAAUGAAAAAAAGAAGGAUGUUUUAUUUACAUCCUAUUUCAAAACCAUUGCUUUCUUGCUAUUGUAUGUCUCUGCAGGCCCAAUAUCGCGCAUCUUCAUAAGAAGUUUAGAAUUGUUCCUUAUGUUUCCUUCUAACAAACACUGGUAUAUUCACAUGAAAGUGUAUAUUUUUUUCACUUCCAAAACAGUUAGCUCAUAAUUCGGAACAUUGAGGUUUGCAAAAUGACUGAAGGAAACUUUACCUAAACAAUAGUUGCCAGUUCUGCUGAGAAUUAUCACGGGCCCACAACGGCUGUGUGUUUUUCCAUACAGAUAUUCUAAUUUUUUUUAUUAUGCAGCUAAUUUUUUUUAGACUCAUGAAUAAAAUAGCAAGUCAGUCUGUGCAUAAGCAUAUGUUUAAAUCUACCAGGAGAAAUGUCUGGAAUAUUUUUGGUUAUUAAAAUUAAAAUUCAGGAUAAUGAAAGGCAUAUGCAACUUAUUAUAUUCUUUAUAUAACUUAUUUCAUCUAAUCCUCCAAAUAGCUAUAUAACAUAUUUAUCCCCACCUUACAUAGA